rnacentral:rRNA from 1 species
CCUACGGGAGGCAGCAGUGGGGAAUAUUGGACAAUGGGGGCAACCCUGAUCCAGCCAUGCCGCGUGUGUGAAGAAGGCCCUCGGGUUGUAAAGCACUUUCAGUGAGGAAGAACGCCUGGUGGUUAAUACCCAUCAGGAAAGACAUCACUCACAGAAGAAGCACCGGCUAACUCCGUGCCAGCAGCCGCGGUAAUACGGAGGGUGCGAGCGUUAAUCGGAAUUACUGGGCGUAAAGCGCGCGUAGGUGGCUUGAUAAGCCGGUUGUGAAAGCCCCGGGCUCAACCUGGGAACGGCAUCCGGAACUGUCAAGCUAGAGGGCAGGAGAGGAAGGUAGAAUUCCCGGUGUAGCGGUGAAAUGCGUAGAGAUCGGGAGGAAUACCAGUGGCGAAGGCGGCCUUCGGGACUGACACUGACACUGAGGUGCGAAAGCGUGGGUAGCAAACAGGAUUAGAUACCCUUGUAGUC